rnacentral:lncRNA from 1 species
GGAAAAACUGACCAUAAAUAUUUAAAUUCUGAAAAGCAGAGGAGACCAGGAACCCAGUUUCUAAUAAGAGAUGCCAGUCACUAUCCCGGCACCAGGCCUUUGGCCUGGUUUCUUUCAUUGAUAACCAGGGGCUCUUCUCUGGUCAGUGAUUGCUAUGAAAUGUCCUUUUACUGGGAGUUGAGGGGAGUGGGAGGCAGAUUAGCACUCUCUCCCAUAUCUGUCCUCUUCAGAACUGGCCACAUUUGGGUCUCUAGGCUUAGCAGCCACAACCCUCUACCUUACAAGGUCCACAGUGUAUCCACUCCUGUAUCAUUCCUACUACCUUCCCUCCACUCUGCCCCAUGAAUAAAUCUCGAAAAA